rnacentral:rRNA from 1 species
CGGCGAGUGAAGCGGCAAUAGCUCAAAUUUGAAAGCUGGCACCUUCGGUGUCCGCGUUGUAAUUUGUAGAGGAUGCUUCGGCGAGGACUCCUGCCUAAGUUCCCUGGAAUGGGACGUCGCAGAGGGUGAGAAUCCCGUAUGUGGCGGGCGGUCCAAGCCAUGUGAAGCUCCUUCGACGAGUCGAGUUGUUUGGGAAUGCAGCUCUAAAUGGGAGGUAAAUUUCUUCUAAAGCUAAAUACCGGCCAGAGACCGAUAGCGCACAAGUAGAGUGAUCGAAAGAUGAAAAGCACUUUGGAAAGAGAGUUAAAAAGUACGUGAAAUUGUUGAAAGGGAAGCGCUUGCAACCAGACUCGCUCGCAGUUGCUCAGCCCGCCUCUUGGUGGGUGCACUCUUCUGCGAUCGGGCCAGCAUCAGUUCGGGCGGCUGGAUAAAGGUGUCGGGAAUGUAGCACCCUUCGGGGUGUGUUAUAGCCCGGCGCGGAAUGCAGCCAGCCUGGACUGAGGAUCUCGCUUCGGCAAGGAUGCUGGCAUAAUGGUUGUAAGCGGCCCGUCUUGAAACACGGACCAAGGAGUCUAACAUCUAUGCGAGUGUUUGGGUGUCAAACCCAUGCGCGUAAUGAAAGUGAACGGAGGUGGGAACCCGUAAGGGUGCACCAUCGACCGAUCCUGAUGUCUUCGGAUGGAUUUGAGUAAGAGCAUAGCUGUUGGGACCCGAAAGAUGGUGAACUAUGCCUGAAUAGGGUGAAGCCAGAGGAAACUCUG